rnacentral:rRNA from 1 species
UACGGAGGAUGCAAGCGUUAUCCGGAUUUAUUGGGUUUAAAGGGUGCGUAGGCGGGACAAUAAGUCAGUGGUGAAAUCCUGCGGCUUAACCGUAGAAUUGCCAUUGAUACUGUUGUUCUUGAGUACAGUUGAGGUGGGCGGAAUGUGUAAUGUAGCGGUGAAAUGCUUAGAUAUUACACAGAACACCGAUUGCGAAGGCAGCUCACUAAGCUGUUACUGACGCUGAGGCACGAAAGCGUGUGGAGCAAACAGG